rnacentral:rRNA from 1 species
UUAAGCGACUAAGCGUACACGGUGGAUGCCCUGGCAGUCAGAGGCGAUGAAGGACGUGCUAAUCUGCGAAAAGCGUCGGUAAGGUGAUAUGAACCGUUAUAACCGGCGAUGUCCGAAUGGGGAAACCCAGUGUGAUUCGUCACACUAUCGUUAACUGAAUACAUAGGUUAACGAGGCGAACCGGGGGAACUGAAACAUCUAAGUACCCCGAGGAAAAGAAAUCAACCGAGAUUCCCCCAGUAGCGGCGAGCGAACGGGGAGCAGCCCAGAGUCUGAAUCAGCUUGUGUGUUAGUGGAACGGUCUGGAAAGUCCGACGGUACAGGGUGAUAGUCCCGUACACCAAAAUGCACAGGCUGUGAACUCGAAGAGUAGGGCGGGACACGUGGUAUCCUGUCUGAAUAUGGGGGGACCAUCCUCCAAGGCUAAAUACUCCUGACUGACCGAUAGUGAACCAGUACCGUGAGGGAAAGGCGAAAAGAACCCCGGCGAGGGGAGUGAAAAAGAACCUGAAACCGUGUACGUACAAGCAGUGGGAGCACCUUCGGGUGUGACUGCGUACCUUUUGUAUAAUGGGUCAGCGACUUAUAUUCUGUAGCAAGGUUAACCGUAUAGGGGAGCCGCAGGGAAACCGAGUCUUAACUGGGCGUUAAGUUGCAGGGUAUAGACCCGAAACCCGGUGAUCUAGCCAUGGGCAGGUUGAAGGUUGGGUAACACUAACUGGAGGACCGAACCGACUAAUGUUGAAAAAUUAGCGGAUGACUUGUGGCUGGGGGUGAAAGGCCAAUCAAACCGGGAGAUAGCUGGUUCUCCCCGAAAGCUAUUUAGGUAGCGCCUCGUGAAUUCAUCUUCGGGGGUAGAGCACUGUUUCGGCUAGGGGGUCAUCCCGACUUACCAACCCGAUGCAAACUACGAAUACCGAAGAAUGUUAUCACGGGAGACACACGGCGGGUGCUAACGUCCGUCGUGAAGAGGGAAACAACCCAGACCGCCAGCUAAGGUCCCAAAGUCAUGGUUAAGUGGGAAACGAUGUGGGAAGGCACAGACAGCCAGGAUGUUGGCUUAGAAGCAGCCAUCAUUUAAAGAAAGCGUAAUAGCUCACUGGUCGAGUCGGCCUGCGCGGAAGAUGUAACGGGGCUAAACCAUGCACCGAAGCUGCGGCAGCGACACUAUGUGUUGUUGGGUAGGGGAGCGUUCUGUAAGCCUGCGAAGGUGUGCUGUGAGGCAUGCUGGAGGUAUCAGAAGUGCGAAUGCUGACAUAAGUAACGAUAAAGCGGGUGAAAAGCCCGCUCGCCGGAAGACCAAGGGUUCCUGUCCAACGUUAAUCGGGGCAGGGUGAGUCGACCCCUAAGGCGAGGCCGAAAGGCGUAGUCGAUGGGAAACAGGUUAAUAUUCCUGUACUUGGUGUUACUGCGAAGGGGGGACGGAGAAGGCUAUGUUAGCCGGGCGACGGUUGUCCCGGUUUAAGCAUGUAGGCUGGUUGUCCAGGCAAAUCCGGAUAAUCAAGGCUGAGGUGUGAUGACGAGGCACUACGGUGCUGAAGUAACAAAUGCCCUGCUUCCAGGAAAAGCCUCUAAGCAUCAGGUAACAUCAAAUCGUACCCCAAACCGACACAGGUGGUCAGGUAGAGAAUACCAAGGCGCUUGAGAGAACUCGGGUGAAGGAACUAGGCAAAAUGGUGCCGUAACUUCGGGAGAAGGCACGCUGGUGUGUAGGUGAAGUCCCUGCGGAUGGAGCUGAGACCAGUCGAAGAUACCAGCUGGCUGCAACUGUUUAUUAAAAACACAGCACUGUGCAAACACGAAAGUGGACGUAUACGGUGUGACGCCUGCCCGGUGCCGGAAGGUUAAUUGAUGGGGUUAUCCGUAAGGAGAAGCUCUUGAUCGAAGCCCCGGUAAACGGCGGCCGUAACUAUAACGGUCCUAAGGUAGCGAAAUUCCUUGUCGGGUAAGUUCCGACCUGCACGAAUGGCGUAAUGAUGGCCAGGCUGUCUCCACCCGAGACUCAGUGAAAUUGAACUCGCUGUGAAGAUGCAGUGUACCCGCGGCAAGACGGAAAGACCCCGUGAACCUUUACUAUAGCUUGACACUGAACAUUGAGCCUUGAUGUGUAGGAUAGGUGGGAGGCUUUGAAGCGUGGACGCCAGUCUGCGUGGAGCCAACCUUGAAAUACCACCCUUUAAUGUUUGAUGUUCUAACGUUGGCCCCUUACCGGGGUUGCGGACAGUGUCUGGUGGGUAGUUUGACUGGGGCGGUCUCCUCCCAAAGCGUAACGGAGGAGCACGAAGGUUAGCUAAUCCUGGUCGGACAUCAGGAGGUUAGUGCAAUGGCAUAAGCUAGCUUGACUGCGAGCGUGACGGCGCGAGCAGGUGCGAAAGCAGGUCAUAGUGAUCCGGUGGUUCUGAAUGGAAGGGCCAUCGCUCAACGGAUAAAAGGUACUCCGGGGAUAACAGGCUGAUACCGCCCAAGAGUUCAUAUCGACGGCGGUGUUUGGCACCUCGAUGUCGGCUCAUCACAUCCUGGGGCUGAAGUAGGUCCCAAGGGUAUGGCUGUUCGCCAUUUAAAGUGGUACGCGAGCUGGGUUUAGAACGUCGUGAGACAGUUCGGUCCCUAUCUGCCGUGGGCGCUGGAGAAUUGAGGGGGGCUGCUCCUAGUACGAGAGGACCGGAGUGGACGCAUCACUGGUGUUCGGGUUGUCAUGCCAAUGGCACUGCCCGGUAGCUAAAUGCGGAAGAGAUAAGUGCUGAAAGCAUCUAAGCACGAAACUUGCCCCGAGAUGAGUUCUCCCUGAGACUUUAAGUCUCCUGAAGGAACGUUGAAGACGACGACGUUGAUAGGCCGGGUGUGUAAGCGCAGCGAUGCGUUGAGCUAACCGGUACUAAUGAACCGUGAGGCUUAACCU